rnacentral:rRNA from 1 species
CUCCGGUUGAUCCUGCCGGACCCGACUGCUAUCAGAGUGGGACUAAGCCAUGCGAGUCAACAUAGCAAUAUGUGGCAUACGGCUCAGUAACACGUAGUCAACAUGCCCAGGGGACGUGGAUAACCUCGGGAAACUGAGGAUAAACCGCGAUAGGUCAUCACUUCUGGAAUGGGUAAUGACUUAAAUCUAUAUGGCCCCUGGAUUGGACUGCGGCCGAUCAGGCUGUUGGUGAGGUAAUGGCCCACCAAACCUGUAACCGGUACGGGCUCUGAGAGGAGGAGCCCGGAGAUGGGCACUGAGACAAGGGCCCAGGCCCUAUGGGGCGCAGCAGGCGCGAAACCUCUGCAAUAGGCGAAAGCUUGACAGGGUUACUCUGAGUGAUUUCCGUUAAGGAGAUCUUUUGGCACCUCUAAAAAUGGUGCAGAAUAAGGGGUGGGCAAGUCUGGUGUCAGCCGCCGCGGUAAUACCAGCACCCCGAGUGGUCGGGACGUUUAUUGGGCCUAAAGCAUCUGUAGCCGGUUCUACAAGUCUUCCGUUAAAUCCACCUGCUUAACAGAUGGGCUGCGGAAGAUACUAUAGAGCUAGGAGGCGGGAGAGGCAAGCGGUACUCGAUGGGUAGGGGUAAAAUCCGUUGAUCCAUUGAAGACCACCAGUGGCGAAGGCGGCUUGCCAGAACGCGCUCGACGGUGAGGGAUGAAAGCUGGGGGAGCAAACCGGAUUAGAUACCCGGGUAGUCCCAGCUGUAAACGAUGCAGACUCGGUGAUGAGUUGGCUUAUUGCUAACUCAGUGCCGCAGGGAAGCCGUUAAGUUUGCCGCCUGGGGAGUACGGUCGCAAGACUGAAACUUAAAGGAAUUGGCGGGGGAGCA